rnacentral:rRNA from 1 species
AUGGCGGCAAAGAAAUAUCUCUUUCGCUUUGGGUCUUUCGCGAUAAAGGACGGGUCAGAGAUUCGUUUCUGGGAAGAUAUCUGCCUAGGCAAUGCCAGUCUCACAGAACAAUAUCCAGCCUUAUAUACCAUUGCUCGCGAUAAGAAUAAUACUAUUGCGCACGUGCUCCGUUCCUCCCCGCCGAAUAUUUCGUUCAGGCGGGAUUUGAUUGGCCUCCGACUAGUGUCAUGGCAUAAUCUCUUAUCCCGGUUGGAUUCAAUUAACCUAACGCAAGGCAUGGAUGUGUUUCGCUGGAACCUUACUACAUUAGGGUCUUUCAUAGUAGACUCUAUGUACCGUGCACUCAUGCAUUCUGAGGUACCAGUGAGUAAUAACAAGAAAAUUUGGAAGUCCAAGAUUCCACUAAAAGUGAAAAUCUUUAUGUGGUAUAUUCGUAGGGGAGUUGUGUUAACGAAAGACAACCUCGCACGGCGCAACUGGCCAGGGAGUAAGAAGUGA